rnacentral:rRNA from 1 species
UGGGGGAUAUUGCACAAUGGGCGAAAGCCUGAUGCAGCGACGCCGCGUGGGGGAUGAAGGCCUUCGGGUUGUAAACUUCUUUUGCUCUGAACAAGGCAUGCUAAUGGGUGUGUUGAGUGUAGGGGUUGAUUAGCGCCGGCUAACUACGUGCCAGCAGCCGCGGUAAUACGUAGGGCGCGAGCGUUGUCCGGAAUUAUUGGGCGUAAAGGGCUUGUAGGUGGCUGGUUGCGUCUGUCGUGAAAGCUCAUGGCUUAACUGUGGGUGUGCGGUGGGUACGGGCUGGCUUGAGUGCAGUAGGGGAGGCUGGAAUUCCUGGUGUAGCGGUGGAAUGCGCAGAUAUCAGGAGGAAUACCGGUGGCGAAGGCGGGUCUCUGGGCUGUUACUGACACUGAGGAGCGAAAGCAUGGGGAGCGAACAGG